GAGUUUGAUUCUGGCUCAGAACGAACGCUGGCGGCGUGCUUAACACAUGCAAGUCGAACGAGAACGCUCCUUCGGGAGCAAGUAGAGUGGCGCACGGGUGAGUAACGCGUGGGUAAUCUACCCUUGGGUGGGGGAUAACGUUUCGAAAGGAACGCUAAUACCGCAUACGUCGGAAACGAGAAAGGUGGGGAUCUUCGGACCUGCCGCCCUUGGAUGAGCCCGCGUACCAUUAGGUAGUUGAUGGGGUAAUGGCCCACCAAGCCGAAGAUGGUUAGCUGGUCUGAGAGGAUGAUCAGCCACACUGGGACUGAGACACGGCCCAGACUCCUACGGGAGGCAGCAGUGGGGAAUAUUGCGCAAUGGGCGAAAGCCUGACGCAGCAACGCCGCGUGUGUGAAGAAGGCCUUCGGGUCGCAAAGCACUGUUGAGUAGGAAGAGACGAUUACGGUUAAUACCCGUGGUCCCGACGGUACUACUUUAGAAAGCACCGGCUAACUCCGUGCCAGCAGCCGCGGCAAUACGGAGGGUGCAAGCGUUGUUCGGAAUUAUUGGGCGUAAAGGGCGCGUAGGCGGGCCAUUAAGUCUGAUGUGAAAUCCCUCGGCUCAACC
rnacentral:rRNA from 1 species